rnacentral:rRNA from 1 species
UACAGAGGUCUCAAGCGUUGUUCGGAUUCAUUGGGCGUAAAGGGUGCGUAGGCGGCGCGGUAAGUCGGGUGUGAAAUCUCGGAGCUUAACUCCGAAACUGCAUUCGAUACUGCGGUGCUUGAGGACUGGAGAGGAGACUGAAAUUCAUGGUGUAGCAGUGAAAUGCGUAGAGAUCAUGAGGAAGACCAGUGGCGAAGGCGGGUCUCUGGACAGUUCCUGACACUGAGACACGAAGGCCAGGGGAGCAAACGGG